rnacentral:lncRNA from 1 species
UAGUAAAAUUUCAAUUUAGAAUUACUCCUGCACAUCUCAAACUCUAAUUGCCCUAUCCCUCACACCCACUCUCUCUCAGGCGUUGUCACCUCGCUGCCAAUGUUUCCCUCUCGACGGACGGACAAAUGAGAAGGACGAACCAUCCUCACAAUCUUCACCCCUCUGCUCGGCUACUCCGUCUCCCGUCCUCCGCCUCACCGUUCAGUCGAAAAUCGCGGCGUCGUCUGCUUGUGCUCGACUAUUUCUCAGUCACCGUUCUCCCAGCCGCGCCGCACCACCACCACCGAUCGCACGUCGCGGCUAUUACAGCCGCCUUCAACCGCGCUCUCCCUUGGACCUGCUCUAACCCUAGCCGCCCUCUCCCUAGGACCGGCUCUCUCUCUAAGCUGUUGUCACCGCGCCUUUUGUCUUUCAAAUCUAAUUGCAUUUCCUUGAUUGUUCAAUUUGACAAAAAUCAAAGCUACUUAAUUGUAUUACUUCUCGUUUUUUACUAUCAUGAUUAAAUUUCCUUACUUCGCUCGUCCUUUGUGAUUGCAGGUUUUCUAGGACAUGCAUUAUUUGGGUAAAGAUUGGGGGAUAUAUUUUUGUGAUGAUGAUAAUGGGGAUUCUGCAGAUCGGAAAGUGCUCUUAGAGGUAAAUAAUUAUAGAAAUUAUUAACAUAUAAGGUUAUUUUGAAACAUGUUGAUUAUGCAAUUUAGGCAGAAUAACUUUCUUGUGACUCAUUUCAUGAUUGGAGUUUGUAAGCUAACUUCGAUGGCUAUUAUACUGAGGUAUAUUUUGAUGAUUGUCAGGUUGGUUUUGGUUUUGGAGCUGGUAAUACUUCUUUUUCUCUGAUUAAUUGUUGUCUAUCCCAUGUUCUUUUGCUGGCUUUUUCUGUAACUGUAAGAUCUGUAUUAUAUUGAGAAUAGAUGAAAUGAUAAAUUUUGAAAUCCAUAGGAAUAUUAUAGAAAUAACUAAUUGAGCUGUAUGUGAAGCAAAUGAUGCUUUGUUUUAUUUUUCCUUUACUCUAUUUUUGAAUCAUAAGUUAUGCAAUGUUUUGAUCACUUCGAAUAUUUCCCUUCAAUGAGAAUGGAUAUAUUUAUCCCUUAGGAUCUACUGUUAAGAUCCUUGAGUAUGUCAAUCAAGUUCAUAUAUGUUGUAUAUUGAUCUUUGCACAGAGUGUCUGUUUUUGUUGCUGGUUUUAUUCAGCUAGUGUCGUCAAAAUAAUUGGGAACCAAUACCUUAUAGUAUCAUAUAUCUGUACUUGUUUGCCUUUUCAUUUUUAUUAGUUGGCUAAGGUUUUUUGUCAUGAGGAGUGAAUUGGUUUCUUUUAUUAAAGUUAGACCAGACCUGAAUAAGGCACCAUUAGUUUGCUUUUCAAUCUCAAAUACUAAUGCGAUGUUUCAUGUUAGAUAGUUGCAUUCUUAUAUUUAUUAGACUUUGCACAUUAUUUACUUCAUUUUCCUAAAACCUUAACAGGUUCUCAUCCAAGGUUUAAGUGUGCCUUGCAAGAGAAUUUUCUUUUUUGGGUAACUUAUAUCGAUCCAUUUAUACUCACUCUUGUUUCUUCUAGCUUGAGAAUUGAUUCUUUCAAUAACUGAAAUCAAUUGAUUCAAACUAACAAUUGGAUCAAUUAUAAUUUUUAAGUUAUUUUAACUUUGUUAUUUGUACCUUAAAAUAUGUUAAAUUGUGUAUGUUGACUAAUAUCUUGUUUCUCUUAUCUUGGCAGGAGUUAUUGAAAAAGUUGUCACGAUGGUUAACCAAUGUUCAACUCUUCCAAUGUACAAUGGAGUGACUUUUUGAUCAAGAGCUUGAAGAAAAAUUAUGAGUCCUAGAUUAAUUGCGAGUUGUAGAUUAAGUGCUUAGUAAUUUAGACAUUUAAAAUUAUAUGUAGUUAGUAAUUUCAGACUUGUACUUUGAUUUUGUUAAAUAUUUUUUUAUGUAAAUGUUCUGUAUGAUAUUCUUGUUAUAUUUAAUGUGUU